GAUGAACGCUGGCGGCGUGCCUAAUACAUGCAAGUCGAGCGAACAGACGAGGAGCUUGCUCCUCUGACGUUAGCGGCGGACGGGUGAGUAACACGUGGAUAACCUACCUAUAAGACUGGGAUAACUUCGGGAAACCGGAGCUAAUACCGGAUAAUAUAUUGAACCGCAUGGUUCAAUAGUGAAAGACGGUUUUGCUGUCACUUAUAGAUGGAUCCGCGCCGCAUUAGCUAGUUGGUAAGGUAACGGCUUACCAAGGCGACGAUGCGUAGCCGACCUGAGAGGGUGAUCGGCCACACUGGAACUGAGACACGGUCCAGACUCCUACGGGAGGCAGCAGUAGGGAAUCUUCCGCAAUGGGCGAAAGCCUGACGGAGCAACGCCGCGUGAGUGAUGAAGGUCUUCGGAUCGUAAAACUCUGUUAUUAGAGAAGAACAAAUGUGUAAGUAGCUAUGCACGUCUUGACGGUACCUAAUCAGAAAGCCACGGCUAACUACGUG
rnacentral:rRNA from 1 species